rnacentral:rRNA from 1 species
AGACAGAUGCUGCAUGGUUGCCGUCAGUUCGUGUCGUGAGAUGUACCGUUAAGUCGGAAAACGAACGCAACCCUUUAUCUCAUGUUUUAUAUGUCAUGAGAGACUGCCGUUUUAAAUGGGAGAAGUGGGGAUGACGUCAAAUCAGCAUGGUUCUUACGCCUUGGGCUACACACGUGCUACAAUGGUAAAUACAAAGGGACGCCAAACCGCGAGGUGGAGCAAAUCCCUAAAAAUUUAUCUCAGUUCGGAUUGAAGUCUGCAACUGACUUCAUGAAGUUGGAAUCGCUAGUAAUCGUAGGUCAGCUAUACUACGGUGAAUACGUUCUCGGGUCUU